AUGUCUCCUGAUAAUUGUGCAUCUCUUCUCAUUUUUCCAAGCCAAUAGAGACUUUACAGACAUCUCUUCUAUAUAAUUGCAAAAAUAAUGAUGAUGAUGAUGUUGAUGCUGUGGAGAGAAUAAAGCCACCAGCAGACAUAGAUGGAGCACAGAGGUUAAUAGAGAGCUGUGAUAUCAUGGAACCAAGGCCAGUAUUUCGCAAAACAUAACUGAAGGUAACAAAACCUAUGGUUUGAAGAACUGCGGUCAUAUAAAAAGCUUAAUAACAAGGGUCUAGAAGUAUAAGAAGCUGACAUCCCAAUAUAAAUGAUAUAGAACAAGGCAAUGUCCUGACAAGAACUAUUCCAUUAUGUACACUAAGGCUUGUUGCCAGUUGUUUAUAACAGAGGAACACAAGACUGAAAUCCAAAUCCUCUAUACAAACUCUUCACUCGUUCUGUAUAAGCAUUUCUUAAUCUCUCUCAACAAAAUCUUGUCAUCUCUACAGGUCAUAAUCUAAAGGCCUCUGCUUUCUGUUACCAAACACAUACCCGAUCUACUAAAACCAAUGUUAACUAUUAUAGCCAAGGUUUUAGUUUCCAGUGUAGGAGAAAACAAGUGAAGAGUAUUCCUUUAAAAUUGUCUUUCUAAGCUUUAUAUUCAUCAGAUAGAAGGCAUCACAAAACAACCAGAAGACUUCCAAAUUGAAGAUUCCAAAAUCCACAGUCAAGAUUAUGAUACGGGAGCAUAUUUUAGAAGCCAAUACUGUCAGUUCCCACCUUUGGCCUCUCUGGCAACCAUGAAGACGUCAAGUCCAGAGGACCACCCAGUCUUCAUCUCUCUGCCUGUGGGGUUAGAUUCAGGAAAACAGCCACAGGAGAACAGAAAACAGAACAAAGGCCAGAUAUUGUCAAGAAAACCAUUUAGCACAAAGAGGAGUAUUGGAUCAUAGAUUCCUGGAGUGGGUAGAGCCUCUUAAGAUCGACUUUUUGUGGGAAUCCUGGGUGGCUCAGCAGUUGAGCAUCUGCCUUCGGCCCAGGGUGUGAUCCUGGAGUCUUGGGAUGGAGUCCCGCAUCGGGCUCCCUGCGUGGAGCCUGCUUCUCCCUCUGCCUGUGUCUCUGCCUCUCUCUGUGUCUCUCAU
ensembl:lncRNA